UUACGUCUCUCUCUCACUACGCCUCCAACUAUUUCUCUCUCUACAAACACUAAGAAUACGCCUCCAAUGAACUCUCGGUCUCUCUCUCUUGAAACCCUAGAUCGAUUACGCCUCAUUUCUUCUCCAUCCACUCUCUUCCCUUGCAGAUCUGUCAUGUCCAACUCAGAAAAUGUAGAUGGUAGGUGGAUUAAUCCACGGCACUCUCGAAUCCCGACCUCUUUCCCCGUCGACGACAUCCCACUCACCACGAAGACCUUUGCUUCCGGUGGGUUUGCAGGUGGUAGGGAUAGACGGCCGAUAUGACGAAUUGAGGUGAAAGUAGGGCCACUGAUGACGGAGAGAAAUGAUGGUCUCAAGGCUCUAGGUCCUCUACUUCCGAUGGCGUUGUUGUCGACGGGGGAGAGGGACAGUGUCUUAACUUUUUAAUUCUGCCGCUAAGAAUUGUUGACUCGGUUUUGAAAUUUUUUGAAUAUACCGCUUAAUUGAAGCAAUUUUUUUCAAUUGUGUUAGUUUAUGUUUUGUUGUUUCCAGAUUUACCAUUCAAAUUGUUUAAUUAAAGUAUUCUUAAUAUUAAUAGUUUAAAUAAUUUUGAAUAUUGUUAUAAAAAAAUUACUGUUAAAAAAAUUGGAUAAGAAUUGAAAUUAAGACUCAUUCCUAAAAUAUGUAAUCACUUUACCUAUCUUAUUACCCAUUCUGCUAUAAACACUAAUUACUCAUUCCUUAGGAUUCAUUUGGUUCGUUUGUUUGGUAUAGGACAUGUUCGGGCUUCUAGAUGGGCUCAGGUUAGGUUUGGUAUAUAAAACUGAUGUUUGAUUUCAAUGUUGAGUUUUUAGGCCAAUCUUAAAAAUUUGUUUGGUACAUAUGUUUAAUGAAGAUAUUUCACCAGACAUGACUCUUCUACCCUCUAGGGUUUCCUUGUUAAUUUUGAUUUUGGGAGGCUUUUAUACUUACGCACCUCUUUUCAUUUCCUCACUCCCACACUUUUUCCACUCUUCAGCGUUGUCUUCAUCAAAUCGGCAUCGCGUGACCUAUUCUGAUUUCGUUCUCGUUGUCCCUCAACUUCAAAUUAGGUAGUUUAACUAAAUCCGAACUUGCGCUCUGCUUGCGUUUCGUGGUGAGAGGUAUAGUAAAAUUAAUGGUGAACCAAGUGAUAUUUGUAUCUUGCUAUUGUUGUUUUAUUUGUUGUGAAAGUAGAUAUAAAAUGUGAAGGUGAUUUAUGUAGGAGUUUUCUGCUUCUGCUGCAAUCCUUAAUAGAAGGUAUUCAAGAAUUGCAAAGGGAUUUUUCUUUUGUAUUUAAAUUAUUGAUUUUAUUCUAUCUUCAUGUCAUAUCUGGAGCUCUCUUCUUUAUUCUUUCUUGUCUUCGUAUACAUCGGCUAUUGUAUGUAACACUUGUCUCUGUUUUUUAAUUGUUCAAAGGGAUGCACGGACAUAUGCACCUAGUGCCGGUGGCAGCCAAGGCACCCAAGGCCCCGCACUUAGUAUCGCCGCUCAAGCUUCCGCCCGUGCGACCGCCCUCGUAGAUCUUGGUCUGACCGUGAAGAGAUAAUGCUAAUCUCCGCUUUGAAGGAACUGGUUGCCAGAGGAUGGAAGUUAGACAAUGGCUUCCGAGGUGGAUAUGCACAGAAGAUAGAGGAAUGGUUGAAAAAUGAGUUCCCAACUACUGAUUUGAAGGCAACGCCACACAUUCAAUCCAAGAUUACUAACUGGAAAAAGACCUACUACUCGCCGUAAAAAAUACUCGACCGUAGUGGUGUUGGUUUCAACGUACACAAUGAUUUCAAAAUUGAUUGCUCGGAUGACCAAUGGGAUCAAAUCGUGAGGCAAGAUCCCAAUGCCCGCACCAUGCGGCACAACGCUUGGCCUCUAUGGGAUGAUUGGAAGAUGAUAUUUGGGAACGAUAGGGCCACUGGCGGGACUUCUGAAGGUAUUGGCGAGGCAGUGGCAAACAAUUCCAUGGAUGAGCCAAUUACAUCUAUCGGGGAAAGUGGCGAUUACUAU